GAGGGUAUAUCUCAGGGGUAGAGCGCAUGCUUAGCAUGCAUGAGACCAUGGGUUUGAUCUCCAGUACCUCCA
rnacentral:tRNA from 1 species